UACUAAUAGUUUUCUAUUAAACAGUAGGUUAUAUUGGUCCAUUCAUUCAUGUACUAAAAUAUUUUCUCAGUAUCUUCUGUUUCAAGCACUAUGCUAGAUUCUAUUGAGAAGGCAGUGAGCAGAAGAAGCACAAAACUUUUUCUUAAAAUGCUAAUAGCAGGACAGUCAGACAGAUAAGCAAUAACAAACUGUGCUAAGUAGUAGAGGAGUCCUGUGGGAGUAGGUAACUGCAGCCCUGUGUUAUUAUUAUUAAGUGUAGCCUCGGUUAAGCUUGGUAGCAAAUUAACCCAGAAAUCUCAAUGAUUUAUCACACAAGGAAUUUUUCACACAAGUAAUGUCCAGUUUCUGUCAGGCACUGUUCCUCCAUCUUGCAGAAACAUGUGGCUUCUUCAGGUGUCAUGACAGAGAAAGUAGGAGGUAGAGAAUUGGACAUGUUUAUUAAAGACAGUCCUGUAAGUGGUUUACAUCCUUCUCCCCCACAUCUUACUGACCAGAAACUAACCACAUUCCCCCAACCUUACUGGAAGGCAUGCUAGAAAAUGCAGAGGGAGGUACAUUUGACUAUUUGUUGAGCACAAACUCUACCACUGGUCUUUACCACAAUUGGACAAUUUAGAAAAGGAUUCCCCGGAAGCCAUGGCAUUUGACUGAAACCUGAAAAAUAAGUAGUUAGACCAGAAGAGAUGGAUUAUCUCAGGUAGAAAUAAUCUUGUACCAAUGUUUAGAAGAAAGAGAAGGAUGGCACUUCAAAGAAUUGAAGGUGAGUUCAUUAUUUGAACUUUGAAUGUAAGAGGAAGGCAGGUAGGGAUACAGUCUUGAAGGACUUUAAAAGCCAUUUUAAGGUAUUUGAAAAAUUGUUCUUAAGACAAGGAGAAGCCAUUGGAAGGUUUAUAGCAUGAUAAAGUUUGAGUAAGGUGAGUAGAAUAAUGUAAUAAAGUAAUGUAAAGAAGAAUAGAAAAGAAAUAGAUUGAGGAGAUAUUUAAGAGGUAUAGUUAAUAUACAGUUUGAGUAAGGUGAGUAGAAUAAUGUAAUAAAGUAAUGUAAAGAAGAAUAGAAAAGAAAUAGAUUGAGGAGAUAUUUAAGAGGUAUAGUUAAUAGACUUGUGGUUGCCAAGGGGGAAGGGGAGGGAGUGGGAGGUACUGGACGCUUGGGGUAAAUAGAUGCAGAAUGUUGCAUUUGGGAUGGAUUGGCAAUGGGAUCUUGCUGUAUAGCCCUGGGAACUCUGUCUAGUCACUUAUGAUGGAACACUUAAUGUGAGAAAAAAUAAAUGUAUACAUGUAUGUGUAACUGGGUCACCAUGCUGUACAGUAGAAAAAAUAUAUAUAUAAAUAAAUUAUUUACAAAAGGGGACAAACAAACAAGACAUCAAAGUGUUGCUGUCUAAACAAGAUUUAAAACAUGGGUCUGGAGAUCAGAGGAGAGAUCUGAGCAGAAGACACAGAUUUAGGAUUUAUCAGGAUAUAGAUCAUAACUGAAACCACAAAGAGUAGAUGAGUUUGUACAGGGUAAAUGCAUACUGUAAGGAGGAAAGAGGGCCUUUGGCAGAGGUUCUUAACUUUCACAAUGUAUCUGAAUUACCUAUUGAGCUUUCUAAAACUAUGUACCUAGGCCCCACUCUCCAGGGAUUAUGAUUCAUUUGGUCUUUGUGUGUCCUAAGAUAUCCUGUGCUUCAAAAGCUCCCACAGUGAUUCAGCCAAGGUUGAGAAUCAUUGAUGAUGAGAAAGAAGGAACACUGUCUGGUGUCUCCAAGGUGAAGAAGAACCUGAAUCAAAAGCUUCUGAGAAGUAAUGAAAAAUAAUAAUCAAAAAGUGUCAUUGGUGAACCCUUCCAUAACUCAGCUGUGGAGCGGAAGACUGUAGAGUCAAAUGUAUGAUCAAAAACUGUCAUUGAAUUUGCCAAUAUGAAUAUGAAUUAAUGAUUUAAAUUAAUGGUCAUGGAAGCCUAGUUGCGGUAAUUGAGUAGUAAGUGGGAGAUAGGGAAAAGAAGAUAGUUGAUGUCUCCACUCUUUCAUGGAGUUUGAUUAUAAAAAUAGAUAAACAAAUGAAGGAGAAAAAAGGGCACCAGCUGGAGAGAAAAUGAGUUUAGAAAAGAGCUCUUUUAUAAUGGGAGAGACUUGAACAUGUUUAUCUGCUAAAGGCCCUAGAGAGACCGAACAGAUCAGCAACAGACCUGAUAAACACGCAAGAGGAGUGAGACUGAAAAACCAGAGUACAAAAAGAGAAAUAACUUUCUAUUCUAAGAGGAGGGAAGAAAGAAUUCAUUUGUAGCAAUGGUGGUACAAAACUGGUGUGUUGCAUUCUCAUCUCAUGUAAGAGCAAUGAUUUUUUUUUUUUUCUGUUAAACACCACUUUAUAUGAUCUACUAGGAGUGAGGGAAGAGAUGGUGAGGACAGUUUUUACAGAAAUGAUGAGUGUUUGAAACAAUCACUGUGGAGGAUGAGUGAGCUAAAGAGGAAAAGCUAAUAGGAUAACCAGGCAUCGCUGAGGCCCAGAUUGAGGAUGCUGAGCAAGGAUUUACGGUGGCCACUAUCUGCAGAGCUUUAUAUUCUGUAAUUUUUCUCUUGAAGCCUCCAGGAUCCCAGGUACAAUGGAAGGACAAUAGGGCAAGGGAAUUGACUAUAUUGACAGGGGAGUGGUUUAAGUGAUGUACAGUGCAAUAAAAGCAGACUAGGGAAG
ensembl:lncRNA